rnacentral:rRNA from 1 species
UACGAAGGGGGCAAGCGUUUUCCGGAAUUAUUGGGCGUAAAGCGCGCGCAGGCGGCUAGUUAAGUCAGAUGUGAAAGGCUGCGGCUCAACCGCAGAGCUGCAUCUGAAACUGAUUAGCUUGAGUGCAGGAGAGGAUAGUGGAAUUCCCGGUGUAGCGGUGGAAUGCGUAGAGAUCGGGAGGAACACCAGUGGCGAAGGCGACUGUCUGGACUGUAACUGACGCUGAGGAGCGAAAGCGUGGGGAGCAAACAGG